rnacentral:rRNA from 1 species
GAUGAACGCUGGCGGCGUGCCUAAUACAUGCAAGUCGAGCGAAUGGAUUAAGAGCUUGCUCUUAUGAAGUUAGCGGCGGACGGGUGAGUAACACGUGGGUAACCUGCCUAUAAGACUGGGAUAACUCCGGGAAACCGGGGCUAAUACCGGAUAACAUUUUGAACCGCAUGGUUCGAAAUUGAAAGGCGGCUUCGGCUGUCACUUAUGGAUGGACCCGCGUCGCAUUAGCUAGUUGGUGAGGUAACGGCGCACCAAGGAAACGAUGCGUAGCCGCACUGCGUGGGUGAACGGCAACAUUGGGACGAAGAACCGGCCCAGACUCCUACGGGAGACAGCAAUAGGGAAUCUGCCCCAAUGGACGAAAGUCUGACGGAGCAACGCCGCGGAAAUGAUGGAAGCUGUCGGGUACUAAAACUCGGUUAUUAGGGAAGAACGAGUGCUAGUUGAAUAAGCGAGCACCUUGAAGGUACCUAACCAGAAAGCCACGGCUAACUACGUGCCAGCAGCCGCCGUAA